ACCACUCGUCACACUAUAGAAGCUAGCCAUGCUCGAAGACGUUACCUUAAUCGCAAGGAGGGGGAUGUCAAAGGCAGGGCUAGUGACUAAAGUGAAGUCAUUACAAGUAGUCGUAAUGGAAGGUGCGGCUG
rfam:Gossypium arboreum cultivar AKA8401 contig_80450_1, whole genome shotgun sequence.